CGAAGAGGCAAACGCCACAGUAACAACAACAACAACCAAACACAUGUUCCUGAAGGAUGGGGCCCCACCUGGAGAACAGGUCCACAAGUUUUAAAAAGUUUCCAUUGGUUGAAUCACCAAUUUGUUGGAAUGAACCAGUAAAUGCUAGACUACAUUCUUCCAAGAAGAUUACAACAUUGAUGAUGCCCUUUAAAAAGUUGUACCACCUCAAAGCUUCAGCUCUGAUUGGCGCUUCUAAGAUGACAUCAACUCCUGUCCCAGAGAGCAGGCGCCUUCCUAGUUCUUGCCAAGCUAGAGAUGGAAACUUAGUUCUGAUAUAUCCAAUGCCAAUGCCUACGAUUACGCCUCUCAUCUUCCACAUGCAUUUGUAUGUACGAUUCUUUGCCGGUGAGAUGCAGCCCUUCAUGAGAAGAUAAAUUCAAAAACUGGUAAAUGUUUCCUAAGCUGUACUACCUUUCCCCCCUUCCUGCUGUAUGGAAAAGCACAUGAACCUGAGCUUUGAAAUAUUUGUAAGUAAACCAUUUUGAACUUACAAAUAUAUGAUCUCUUACCAGACUUAACAAACAUAUGCUAAGGGGAAGUGGGGAAGAAACUUAAGAAGGGGGUAUUUAAAGGUCUAACUACAGCCUAUAUUUCCAUGCUUUACUUUGCUGCAUGUUUUGUGAUUUUAAAUUUCUCACCAAAUAGUGCUUGCCCCACACAUGGAUCUAGGCAUCCAGGGAAUUCUCAUUUUAUUCUUCAACUAAAUCACUAAAAGAAUCCCAACACUGCCAGCAUCUAACACCUGAUUGCCCAUUUGCUACCUGACCAAGUUCAAGGUGUUACUAUUAACUUGUGUCCUUAACAAGGUGUCCUCAACAACUUGAGACCAGCUUACCUACGAAAUCUCCUUACCCAACAUGGGCCCACUCAACUGCUUCAAUUGGUAGAAUUGGCACUACCAAAUUGGCCACAUACACCCACUCCACAUUUGUAAGAACUUGAUCAUUUAGUGUAGUGCUGCCUACACUUUGGAACUCCCUGCCUAUUGAGAUC